GCAUUUCUGCGCCGAUAAUGAACGGGAGUAAAUAUAACACCGAAGCCGUGGACUUAGUUUAUCUUCGGGUAAACUAAUUGGUAGGAGAGCGCUGUACAGCAGAUACAAGCCAUACCGUAAGGAGUGGUCGCGGGCUGUACAGGUGAUUAUGCCGGAAUGAGUAACGAUAAAACAGGUGAGAAUCCUGUUCGCCGAAAGCCUAAGGUUUCCUGGGGAAGGUAAUUCCGCCCAGGGUUAGCCGGUACCUUAGUCGAGGCUGAAGAGCGUAGACGAUGGAUAGCGGGUCAAUAUUCCCGCGCCGGUGUGUGGACUGAUGGAGGGACGGCGUCCGAAAUGCUAGCGAGCGAAUAGAAAUGCUCGUUGCCGAAGGCCAAGUUGUAGUGGGUUAAAAGACACUUAUAAUACAAGGCAUAGGCUAAGCUGUUUACGGCGAUGUAGUUGGCAGGACGUCCAAGAAAAGCUCCUAGGUUUGAAGCACACUGACCGUACUAAAACUGACACAGGUAGGCGAGUCGAGUAGACUAAGGCGCUCGGGAGAACGGUGGUUAAGGAACUCUGCAAAAUGGCCCCGUAAGUUCGCGAUAAGGGGUGCCGGUGAGAGCCGGCCACAGUAAAUCGGCUUCUUCGACUGUUUAUCAAAAACACAGGUCUCUGCAAACACGUAAGUGGACGUAUAGAGACUGACGCCUGCCCGGUGCUGGUAGGUUAAGGAAGUGGGUUAGCUCUUCGGAGUGAAGCUCCCAACCGAAGCCCCAGUAAACGGCGGCCGUAACUAUGACGGUCCUAAGGUAGCGAAGUUCCUUGUCGGGUAAGUUCCGACCUGCAUGAAAGGCGUAACGAGAGAAGCACUGUCUCAACCACCGACCCGGUGAAAUUGUAGUCGUGGUGAAGAUGCCACGUACCCGCGGUUAGACGGAAAGACCCCGUGAACCUUUACUGUAGGCAGUUAUUGGGCUGAGAUAUGUUUUGUGUAGGAUAGGUGGGAGGCUUUGAUCAGGUGGCGCCAGCCAUUUGUGAGCCAUCCUUGAAAUACCACCCUGGAUAUGUUUUAGUUCUAACCUCGUCUUGUGAAUCCAAGCGAGAGACAGUGGCUGUUGGGCAGUUUGGCUGGGGCGGUCUCCUCCCAAAGAGUAACGGAGGAGUGCAAUAGGUACACUCAGCGUGGUUGGCAAUCACGCGUCGAGCGCAAAGGUAGAAGUGUGCUAUACUGCGAGACUUAUCAGUCGAGCAGUUACGAAAGUAGGUCUUAGUGAUCCUGUGAUCCCGAAUGGAAGGGUCAUAGCUCAUCAGAUAAAAGGUACUCCGGGGAUAACAGGCUUAUCGCUCCCGAGCGUCCAUAGCGGCGGAGCGGUUUGGCACCUCGAUGUCGGCUCAUCACAUCCUGGGGGUGAAGAAGCUCCCAAGGGUUUGGCUGUUCGCCAAUGAAAGUGGUACGUGAGCUGGGUUCAGACCGUCGUGAGACAGGUCGGUCCCUAUCUGCCGUGGGCGUUCGAAACUUGAAGGGGUUCAACUUUAGUACGAGAGGAUUUAGUUGGACGAAGCUCUGGUGUACCAGUUGUCACGCUAGUGGCACGGCUGGAUAGCUAACUUCGGACAGGAUAAACGCUGAAAGCAUCUAAGCGUGAAGCCCUCCCUGAGAUUAGGUUUCGUAGCAUUCGCGAGAGUCCCCAGGAAGACGACCUGGUUGAUAGGCUAGAUGUGUAAGUGCAGUAAUGUACUCAGCUAACUAGUACUAACGGACGAAUGCUUGACCAC
rnacentral:rRNA from 1 species